rnacentral:rRNA from 1 species
UUGACGGAGAGUUUGAUCCUGGCUCAGGAUGAACGCUGGCGGCGUGCUUAACACAUGCAAGUCGAACGAUGAAGCACCGCUUGCGGUGUGGAUUAGUGGCGAACGGGUGAGUAACACGUGAGUAACCUGCCCUUGACUCUGGGAUAAGCCUGGGAAACUGGGUCUAAUACCGGAUAUGACCUUUUACCGCAUGGUGGAGGGUGGAAAGCUUUUGUGGUUUUGGAUGGACUCGCGGCCUAUCAGCUGGGCGCAAGCCUGAUGCAGCGACGCCGCGUGAGGGAUGACGGCCUUCGGGUUGUAAACCUCUUUCAGUAGGGAAGAAGCGAAAGUGACGGUACCUGCAGAAGAAGCGCCGGCUAACUACGUGCCAGCAGCCGCGGUAAUACGUAGGGCGCAAGCGUUAUCCGGAAUUAUUGGGCGUAAAGAGCUCGUAGGCGGUUUGUCGCGUCUGCUGUGAAAGACCGGGGCUCAACUCCGGUUCUGCAGUGGGUACGGGCAGACUAGAGUGAUGUAGGGGAGACUGGAAUUCCUGGUGUAGCGGUGAAAUGCGYAGAUAUCAGGAGGAACACCGAUGGCGAAGGCAGGUCUCUGGGCAUUAACUGACGCUGAGGAGCGAAAGCAUGGGGAGCGAACAGGAUUAGAUACCCUGGUAGUCCAUGCCGUAAACGUUGGGCACUAGGUGUGGGGAGCAUUCCACGUUUUCCGCGCCGUAGCUAACGCAUUAAGUGCCCCGCCUGGGGAGUACGGCCGCAAGGCUAAAACUCAAAGGAAUUGACGGGGGCCCGCACAAGCGGCGGAGCAUGCGGAUUAAUUCGAUGCAACGCGAAGAACCUUACCAAGGCUUGACAUGGACUAGACCGGGCUGGAAACAGUCUUUCCCUUCGGGGCUGGUUCACAGGUGGUGCAUGGUUGUCGUCAGCUCGUGUCGUGAGAUGUUGGGUUAAGUCCCGCAACGAGCGCAACCCUCGUUCCAUGUUGCCAGCACGUGAUGGUGGGGACUCAUGGGAGACUGCCGGGGUCAACUCGGAGGAAGGUGGGGACGACGUCAAAUCAUCAUGCCCCUUAUGUCUUGGGCUUCACGCAUGCUACAAUGGCCGGUACAAAGGGUUGCGAUACUGUGAGGUGGAGCUAAUCCCAAAAAGCCGGUCUCAGUUCGGAUUGGGGUCUGCAACUCGACCCCAUGAAGUCGGAGUCGCUAGUAAUCGCAGAUCAGCAACGCUGCGGUGAAUACGUUCCCGGGCCUUGUACACACCGCCCGUCAAGUCACGAAAGUUGGUAACACCCGAAGCCGGUGGCCUAACCCCUUGUGGGAGGGAGCCGUCGAAGGUGGGACCGGCGAUUGGGACUAAGUCGUAACAAGGUAGCCGUACCGGAAGGUGCGGCUGGAUCACCUCCUUU